rnacentral:misc_RNA from 1 species
GCCAUGAAGUGGUGAAGAUCUUACAUUUGCAAGAGGGAGGCACUUAGGAAGCUAGUGCAUAAGUAGCAAGAGCUGUUAUGGAGGCUUAGCUGCUCAGGUGUAGAAAAGAUUGGAUUAUCUGGCUUAUAAAUUUCCCUUUCAUAACUGCCUUGAUAUUUUACACAGAACAUGAAUCCAACAAACCAGCAGAUUUUGAGCUUUGAAUUGUGUUACGAGAAAAAUAUAAGAAAACAAGAUGGCAUAGGGCAGGGACUGGGUAAUUACUGGGGUAAAUACAAGGGUGCAUAUCCACCUUAUCAUCACAAGAUAACUGCUCUUAGGACAAAUUAUCCAUUCAUAUAUCCUAGGACACAAUACUUUUAGUAGGAUACAGGCAAGCAUCAAAAAAGUAGCAAUCAAAGAGUCUAUUUAUCCUUACAAUAUUGUGGAAUGUAUCAUGUACCCCUCUAUUCUUCUUUUUCUUUUGAGAGAGAGAGAGAGA